rnacentral:rRNA from 1 species
UACGUAGGGUGCGAGCGUUGUCCGGAAUUACUGGGCGUAAAGAGCUCGUAGGCGGUGUGUCGCGUCGGCCGUGAAAACCUGCAGCUUAACUGUGGGCGUGCGGUCGAUACGGGCAUCACUGGAGUUCGGCAGGGGAGACUGGAAUUCCUGGUGUAGCGGUGAAAUGCGCAGAUAUCAGGAGGAACACCAACGGCGAAGGCAGCCCGCUGGGACGGUACUGACGCUAAGGCGCGAAAGCGUGGGGAGCGAACAGG